GAUGAAGAACGUAGCGAAAUGCGAUAAGUAGUGUGAAUUGCAGAAUUCAGCGAAUCAUCGAAUCUUUGAACGCACAUUGCGCCCUUCGGUUAUUCCUUAGGGCAUGCCUGUUCGAGCGUCAUUUCAACCUUCAAGCCUGGCUUGGUGUUGGGCGCUGUCCCGCCUCCGCGCGCGGACUCGCCCCAAAUGAAUUGGCAGUCGCACCCUCCGAGCCGCGAGCGCAGCACAAGUCGCGCGGGCGGAACUCUGGGGGGACGGACGCUCCACAAGACCCUUUCUCAGUCUUGACCUCGGAUCAGGUAGGGAUACCCGCUGAACUUAAGCAUAUCAAUAAGCGGA
rnacentral:misc_RNA from 1 species